rnacentral:rRNA from 1 species
GGUAACCUUUUUGGAGCCAGCCGCCUAAGGUGGGAUAGAUGAUUGGGGUGAAGUCGUAACAAGGUAGCCGUAUCGGAAGGUGCGGCUGGAUCACCUCCUUUCUAAGGAA